GAUGAACGCUAGCGGGAGGCCUAACACAUGCAAGCCGAGCGGUAGAGUUUCUUCGGAAACUUGAGAGCGGCGCACGGGUGCGUAACACGUGUGCAACCUACCUUUAUCUGGGGGAUAGCCUUUCGAAAGGAAGAUUAAUACCCCCUAAUAUUAUGAUUGGCAUCAAUUAUUUUUUAAAACUCCGGUGGAUAGAGGUGGGCACGCGCAAGAUUAGGUAGUUGGUGAGGUAACGGCUCACCAAGUCAAUGAUCUUUAGGGGUCCUGAGAGGGAGAUCCCCCACACUGGUACUGAGACACGGACCAGACUCCUACGGGAGGCAGCAGUGAGGAAUAUUGGACAAUGGGUGAGAGCCUGAUCCAGCCAUCCCGCGUGAAGGAUGACGGUCCUAUGGAUUGUAAACUUCUUUUGUACAGGGAUAAACCUACCCUCGUGAGGGUAGCUGAAGGUACUGUACGAAUAAGCACCGGCUAACUCCGUG
rnacentral:rRNA from 1 species